AUGUAAGCGUCGAUGGAGACAUCGGAAUUGGAGAAGAGGCGGCGGAGGGCGGUGAGUUUGGGGUCGGGGUUGGGAUUGGGGGGACGGUUUUUACGGAAGUGGGAAGAAGGUUUAGCUGUGAUGGAAGUGCAGUUACGGAUGGUGAAGAAAGGGGAUUUGUGGGAUUUGAAUUUGUGGAAGAAGGGGGUGAGAGUGGGGAAGGUGGAGGGGUGGGUUGAAGGUGAGAAGAGGAGGACUCGGUGUACUGCAGUUGCAGGUGAUGAUAGCGACAUCAUGUUCAUUGUUGGGUGAAGACGAUGAUGAUGGAAUACUGGUAAGCGAAUGCAAGACACAUAACAAAUACCCGUGUAUAUU
rnacentral:lncRNA from 1 species